rnacentral:tRNA from 1 species
GGGCCUGUAGCUCAGCGGUAGAGCGGCCGGCUCAUAACUGGUUGUGCGUAGGUUCGAAUCCUACCAGGCCCACCA